GAUGAACGCUGGCGGCGUGCCUAAUACAUGCAAGUCGAGCGAACAGACGAGGAGCUUGCUCCUCUGACGUUAGCGGCGGACGGGUGAGUAACACGUGGAUAACCUACCUAUAAGACUGGGAUAACUUCGGGAAACCGGAGCUAAUACCGGAUAACAUGUUGAACCGCAUGGUUCAACAGUGAAAGACGGUCUUGCUGUCACUUAUAGAUGGAUCCGCGCCGCAUUAGCUAGUUGGUAAGGUAACGGCUUACCAAGGCAACGAUGCGUAGCCGACCUGAGAGGGUGAUCGGCCACACUGGAACUGAGACACGGUCCAGAGUCCUACGGGAGGCAGCAGUAGGGAAUCUUCCGCAAUGGGCGAAAGCCUGACGGAGCAACGCCGCGUGAGUGAAGAAGGUCUUCGGAUCGUAAAACUCUGUUAUUAGGGAAGAACAAAUGUGUAAGUAACUAUGCACGUCUUGACGGUACCUAAUCAGAAAGCCACGGCUAACUACGUG
rnacentral:rRNA from 1 species